GCCGAUCGGCGUGACCAAGGUGCUCCCGGGCCAACAGGCCCGGGGUUAAACGGGAAACAGGUGCGCGCGCUUUUACGCAAGCCGCAAUGCCUGUGCUGCCCCCGCAACGGUAAGCAGGAACACGACGCGUCACUGCGCCACUGGGCCCCCGGCCUGGGAAGGCGGCGCGCCGCGGCGGGGCCGGAUUCAUCGGCCCCGCUCCACUGCGAGCCCGGAUACCGGCCUCGGUUGCGCGUAGCGG
rnacentral:ncRNA from 2 species